AUGGUUGCAAGUCAGAAGGAUUUUCACCGCUUGUGCAAACCCGGUGCUCUGCAAAGGUUGCACCAUAAUGGGUUGUUUUUAGCGUCUAAUGCUAUUGUUGUUGUUGUUGUUAUGAUGUCUCUCUCGAACCCAUUCCUUGCCCAGAGGAAGGCCAGAGGGGAUGCCAGCCACCCAUCUCCAUGCCCUCCUGGCCUUCCUCCCCUCCCCAUCCCCUCCUCCCCUCCGUUGCACAACUGCCUUCCUUCCCCCUCUCUCUCUCUCUCUCUCUCCGCCCAGUUGUGGUUGCACAACCCUUGCACCCUCCUCCUCCUCGUUCUCGUUCUCGUUCUCUUGGCAGGAGGGCAGGCUGCGCAUUGCCCUGGGCUCACUUCCCCAAAUGCCUGCUCUCUGCCUUCGGGCGCCAAGGGCCCGGGCGGGCAGCUCUGCAUCCUCCUCCUCAUCGCCAUGGGGCUUGAGGGCGCCCCCCUGACCCUGACCCUGACCCUCCUCGUGGCCACCCUCUCCUCGGCCCAGCCGUGCAUCAAGACAGCCGCCCCUCCCAACGUGAUGGUGGCCCACCCGGAUGGCAACGCCACUCUUCCCUGCCUGGACGGAGGGCAGCCGGACAACGCCACGGACGCUGCCCACUGGACGUUCAAUGGUCAAGACCUGCCGCCCUCCCUCCCCGGCCGCGGCCUCUUCCUCCCCCGGGUGCAGGCCAACCACUCGGGUGUAUAAAGCGUGCCACGUCAAUGGGCGCCCGGAGAAAACCUUGCACCUGGUGGUCGAAGGUGAGACCACAACCUGAACCGGGAAGGCACCAUCUAAUCCCA
rnacentral:lncRNA from 11 species